UACGUAGGGUGCAAGCGUUAAUCGGAAUUACUGGGCGUAAAGCGUGCGCAGGCGGUGAUGUAAGACAGAUGUGAAAUCCCCGGGCUCAACCUGGGAACUGCAUUUGUGACUGCAUCGCUAGAGUACGGCAGAGGGGGAUGGAAUUCCGCGUGUAGCAGUGAAAUGCGUAGAUAUGCGGAGGAACACCGAUGGCGAAGGCAAUCCCCUGGGCCUGUACUGACGCUCAUGCACGAAAGCCAGGGGAGCGAACGGG
rnacentral:rRNA from 1 species